GUGCAACACUAUUUUUAAUGUAAAAAAUGAAACAUCUCACCUUUUGCUUUACUCUCCCUUUCUCUCCCACUUUCUUCUUCUUCCUUCUUUCAACAAUCUAGAGUGUUCUCCGCAUCUAUUCUCACCCUUGCUCAUUUGCUCUUUAUCAAAUUCUGAUAUCGUGUUUAAUCUCUGUUUAGACCUCCAAUUCCUCUUCGUACCUGUUGUAUUACGAUAAUGAUUGUGGUCACGUAUUUGACGAAAUUCCCCAAUGAACACAAUACUUAUGUGUUAUGAAAAUUGAUCAGUUUCAACAGCUGGGUUUGUCUUGGAAGAUGUUAAUCAAGUUGAACUAUCUACUUAGGGAACCCCUAACAACUCCCUAUGCUAUGGUUUUUGGAUGAUGAAGAAGAUCAGCAACUAAAAAUGAACAGCAGCAUCCUCUACAUAUGAUAUGAUAAACAAUCACAUGUUGAUCUCAUAUGUCAAAAAAAAUAUUUUGAUUUUAUUAUCUUAAUUAAUAUGGAUCAUCUUGAUGUCCAAUAUCAGUUGUACAUAUAUUUUGAAUAUCUCUAAUAGUAUAUAGCAUAUCACAUUAUCCA